UACGGGGGGGGCAAGCGUUGUUCGGAAUUACUGGGCGUAAAGGGUCUGUAGGUGGCUCGCUAAGUCAGACGUGAAAUCCCUCAGCUUAACUGGGGAACUGCGUCUGAGACUGGCAAGCUUGAGUGCAGGAGAGGAACGCGGAAUUCCAGGCGUAGCGGUGAAAUGCGUAGAUAUCUGGAGGAACACCGGUGGCGAAGGCGGCGUUCUGGACUGCAACUGACACUGAUAGACGAAAGCCAGGGGAGCAAACGGG
rnacentral:rRNA from 1 species